GUCAUCAAAUUGUCGAUAUCUGCAGACGACAUUCUAUCCACAAUUUCUUUAUUUUCGAGACGCUGUCCGAGAAGGUUACCUUAGACAUUUGCUCAUAGCGGGCCACUCUCUUUCCGGACGUUUUUCGUCAACGCCUGGUGAAGUCUGAGCUUCUUCAUCGCAUUACGUGCACGUGAUCGCUGCCUUGUCAUGAGGAGGUUCUCCACCGUCUCCACUAAUUUGCAAGACAAUUGAGAUGAAAAGAGGAAAUUUGAAUAGACAAGUAAUCUUAUUUCGGGCUUCCCUGUAACAGCUUUUGUGAAAGUUUUUUGUUGGUAUGAAAUGAAUCUCAAAAGACAGGGUUAGAAUUUUACAUAAAUUUAAUUCUACGAUAUGUGUGUUACUUGUGUGUUUGCUUAGAAUUGACUAGGGUUGUAAAUUGAAAGAUUCGACAAGUACGUUCUGCUCCAACUUGUGAAAAAAGUCAGCUUGUGAAGAGAUGAAAAUUUUUUUUAUCAAGGUUCCUUGUUCAGUUUGAACAGUUAAUGAUGUCAAGUGUGCAGUGGCUUUGCAGACAUUCAGUUGAGAGAUGCCCUGAGAUGAAUGAUCAAAUGCCGAGCCUAUUCUCAUAUCAUCUUUUUCAAUGGAGAUCCUGUCCGAGAAGAUUUAGGUUUCCAUGUUCAGUCAUGAUAGAGUUCUCUUGUGGCUGUUUGGUGCGCAGUGGUUUUCCAGGAGAGAUGCGUUAGAAAGGUGCUUGUGCAGACUUGCACGCAAUGCGCCUAAGUCGGCAACAUUGAAUCCACUGGCAUGCCACUUAGCCUGACGCCAUCUUCUAUUGACACUUAUUUAUGUUGUUCGUGAACAACGCGGUCAACUUCAACAUACUUCUUCACAUGUAUCUCACAGCAUUGUUGGCUUGGUGAGGUUCAGCUUUUUCAUGGCAGUGGAAUGUUCACAUGGACAUGUGGUGAGCUGUUGGAUGAUCAAUUUUGACCAUGCAUUCUGUCUGUGGUGUUUCCAGCUUCUGUUAAAUUUAUGAGCUAAUUAUGGUGUUGGUCUUUGGUUUGAAGAUCAUGUUCAGGUGGUUUUGUUGCAGCCAGCUGGUGAAAGGGAGUUCCAGUCGAGUUGAACUGUAGCUUAUUGAAGCUGUCAAUGAUGCUGGUUUUAUUCUGAAGUGUAAUAUCAAUGAAGACAUCUUGAAAUGGAUUCGGCGUAAAUGUGCUGUCGUUUUGCUGUCCGAUUCCUGUUCAAGCUGUUAUCCUGAAUUGUGCUGGAGUCUUGGAAAUAGCUGAUCCUGAAGUUGUGAUGCUGGUGUUAUCCUGGAGAAACUGAUGCUGGUGUUAUCAAGUUACUGUGCCAUUGAAAUUUGGGUUGAUAAAAAAUUGUUCAUUCUGUAUGUGAUUGUAGUUACCUUAAGCAAUUUUGUUAUCCUAUGUUUCUUUGCAACCUGAUAGUUUAAACAGCAGUUGUGUUUCCUGAUAUUAUCCUCAAAUCAUAUAUCUUAAAUAACGAUGUGUUAAAGUCAACUUGCAAUAUGUGCGUUGAAAAUUUAUACUUGAUAUUUUUCACAUAUAUAUGUGAAAUGUUAUAAAAUAAAUAAAAUUACAUCCAAUUUUAUG